rnacentral:rRNA from 1 species
UGUGUACCCCGGUGGAGACUUAAGCAUAUCAAUAAGCGGAGGAAAAGAAACUAACAAGGAUUCCCCUAGUAACUGCGAGUGAAGCGGGAAAAGCUCAAAUUUAAAAUCUGGCGGUGUUUGGCCGUCCGAGUUGUAGUCUGGAGAAGUGCUUUCCGCGCUGGACCGUGUAUAAGUCUCUUGGAACAGAGCGUCAUAGAGGGUGAGAAUCCCGUCUUGACACGGACUACCAGUGCUUUGUGAUGCGCUCUCAAAGAGUCGAGUUGUUUGGGAAUGCAGCUCAAAAUGGGUGGUGAAUUCCAUCUAAAGCUAAAUAUUGGCGAGAGACCGAUAGCGAACAAGUACCGUGAGGGAAAGAUGAAAAGCACUUUGGAAAGAGAGUUAAACAGUACGUGAAAUUGCUGAAAGGGAAACGCUUGAAGUCAGUCGCGUUGUCCGGAACUCAGCCUUGCUUUUGCUUGGUGCACUUUCCGGAUGACGGGUCAGCAUCGAUUUUGACCGUCGGAAAAGGGCUGGAGUAAUGUGGCACCUCCGGGUGUGUUAUAGACUCUGGUCGCAUACGGCGGUUGGGAUCGAGGAACGCAGCGCGCCGCAAGGCAGGGGUUCGCCCACUUUCGCGCUUAGGAUGCUGGCAUAAUGGCUUUAAACGACCCGUCUUGAAACACGGACCAAGGAGUCUAACAUACCUGCGAGUGUUUGGGUGGAAAACCCGAGCGCGCAAUGAAAGUGAAAGUUGAGACCCCUGUCGUGGGGGGCAUCGACGCCCGGACCUGACGUUCUCUGACGGAUCCGCGGUAGAGCAUGUAUGUUGGGACCCGAAAGAUGGUGAACUAUGCCUGAAUAGGGUGAAGCCAGAGGAAACUCUGGUGGAGGCUCGUAGCGAUUCUGACGUGCAAAUCGAUCGUCAAAUUUGGGUAUAGGGGCGAAAGACUAAUCGAACCCAUCAAUGGUG